rnacentral:rRNA from 1 species
AUUGAACGCUGGCGGCAUGCUUUACACAUGCAAGUCGAACGGUAACAGGCCGCAAGGUGCUGACGAGUGGCGCACGGGUGAGUAAUGCAUCGGAACGUGCCCAGUCGUGGGGGAUAACUACUCGAAAGAGUAGCUAAUACCGCAUACGAUCUAUGGAUGAAAGCGGGGGACCGUAGGGCCUCGCGCGAUUGGAGCGGCCGAUGUCAGAUUAGGUAGUUGGUGGGGUAAAGGCUCACCAAGCCAACGAUCUGUAGCUGGUCUGAGAGGACGACCAGCCACACUGGGACUGAGACACGGCCCAGACUCCUACGGGAGGCAGCAGUGGGGAAUUUUGGACAAUGGGCGCAAGCCUGAUCCAGCAAUGCCGCGUGCAGGAAGAAGGCCUUCGGGUUGUAAACUGCUUUUGUACGGAACGAAACGGCUCUGGUUAAUACCCGGGGCUAAUGACGGUACCGUAAGAAUAAGCACCGGCUAACUACGUG